UACGUAGGGGGCGAGCGUUGUCCGGAUUUAUUGGGCGUAAAGAGCUCGUAGGCGGUUCGGUAAGUCGGAUGUGAAAUCUCCACGCUCAACGUGGAGGGGCCAUUCGAUACUGCCGUGACUCGAGUCCGGUAGGGGAGUGUGGAAUUCCCGGUGUAGCGGUGAAAUGCGCAGAGAUCGGGAGGAACACCCGUAGCGAAGGCGGCACUCUGGGCCGGUACUGACGCUGAGGAGCGAAAGCGUGGGGAGCGAACAGG
rnacentral:rRNA from 1 species